GAUGAACGCUAGCGGCAGGCUUAAUACAUGCAAGUCGAGGGGUAGCAAGAUUGUAGCAAUGCAAUUGUUGACGACCGGCAAACGGGUGCGGAACACGUACACAACCUUCCUACAAGUGGGGAAUAGCCCAGAGAAAUUUGGAUUAAUACCCCGUAACAUAGCGAUGUGGCAUCACAUUGCUAUUAUAGCUUCGGCGCUUGUUGAUGGGUGUGCGGCUGAUUAGAUAGUUGGCGGGGUAACGGCCCACCAAGUCUACGAUCAGUAGCUGAUGUGAGAGCAUGAUCAGCCACACGGGCACUGAGACACGGGCCCGACUCCUACGGGAGGCAGCAGUAAGGAAUAUUGGACAAUGGACGCAAGUCUGAUCCAGCCAUGCCGCGUGAAGGAUUAAGGUCCUCUGGAUUGUAAACUUCUUUUAUAAGGGACGAAAAAAGGUCUUUCUAGAUCGUCUGACGGUACCUUAUGAAUAAGCACCGGCUAACUCCGUGCCAGCAGCCGCAGUAAAAC
rnacentral:rRNA from 1 species